CUUUAAUUAUUUAUUUUUAACAUUAGUCUAUAUGUAAGUUUUUGCAAAAAAUUUUUUCUAGAAGAUUAUAAUUUAUUAUGCAGUAGAUAGUUUUAUUUAUAUUAAGUUAAUUUAGAUUUGGUAAUUGUUGUUAGAUUUGGUAAAAACUGUGCCAGCAUCCGCGGUUAUACAGUAAAUUCAAAUAAAUAUUAUUGGUUUUUAAAUAAUUAUCAUUAUUUUUAUUUAAAUUGUUAUAUUUUAAGGUGAAAUAUCUAUAAUAUUUAAUAUUAAUUAAUUAAAGUGUGAUUAUUAUGUAAUUAAAUUUAUAAACUAGGAUUAGAUACCCUAUUAUUUUUAACGUUAAAAUUAAAACCUGAGUAUUAAUAGUUACAAUCUUUAAACUUAAAGAAUUUGGCGGUAUUAUAGUCUAUUUAGAGGAAUCUGUUAUUUAAUCGAUAGUCCACGUUGAACCUUACUUAUAUAAAUUCUUGUAUAUCGCUGUUUUUGAAUAUACUUUUAGGUUAUUUUCUUAAUAUAUAAUAAUUUAAUAUUUCAAGUCAAGGUGCAGUUAUGUAUAAGUUGAUUAAUGGAUUACAAUAAAUUUUAUUUAUAUGGAUUGUUAUUGUAAUAUAAUUUGAAGGUGGAUUUAAUUGUAAUUUUAUAAAGAUUAGUAAAAUGAUUUAAAGCUCUAUAAUAUGUACACAUCGCCCGUCACUCUCGUUAUUAAGAUGAGAUAAGUCGUAACAAAGUAGGUGUAUCGGAAGGUGUACCUAGAAAGAAAAUU
rnacentral:ncRNA from 1 species